UACGUAGGGUGCAAGCGUUAAUCGGAAUUACUGGGCGUAAAGAGCGCGCAGGCGGUCGUUCAAGUCGCGUGUGAAAGCCCCCGGCUCAACUGGGGAGGGUCAUUCGAUACUGCUCGGCUCGAAGACAGGAGAGGGAAGUGGAAUUCCCGGUGUAGUGGUGAAAUGCGUAGAUAUCGGGAGGAACACCAGUGGCGAAGGCGACUUUCUGGCCUGUUCUUGACGCUGAGGCGCGAAAGCUAGGGGAGCAAACGGG
rnacentral:rRNA from 1 species